rnacentral:rRNA from 1 species
GACUGGGAUAACUCCGGGAAACCGGGGCUAAUACCGGAUGCUUGUUUGAACCGCAUGGUUCAGACAUAAAAGGUGGCUUCGGCUACCACUUACAGAUGGACCCGCGGCGCAUUAGCUAGUUGGUGAGGUAACGGCUCACCAAGGCGACGAUGCGUAGCCGACCUGAGAGGGUGAUCGGCCACACUGGGACUGAGACACGGCCCAGACUCCUACGGGAGGCAGCAGUAGGGAAUCUUCCGCAAUGGACGAAAGUCUGACGGAGCAACGCCGCGUGAGUGAUGAAGGUUUUCGGAUCGUAAAGCUCUGUUGUUAGGGAAGAACAAGUGCCGUUCAAAUAGGGCGGCACCUUGACGGUACCUAACCAGAAAGCCACGGCUAACUACGUGCCAGCAGCCGCGGUAAUACGUAGGUGGCAAGCGUUGUCCGGAAUUAUUGGGCGUAAAGGGCUCGCAGGCGGUUUCUUAAGUCUGAUGUGAAAGCCCCCGGCUCAACCGGGGAGGGUCAUUGGAAACUGGGGAACUUGAGUGCAGAAGAGGAGAGUGGAAUUCCACGUGUAGCGGUGAAAUGCGUAGAGAUGUGGAGGAACACCAGUGGCGAAGGCGACUCUCUGGUCUGUAACUGACGCUGAGGAGCGAAAGCGUGGGGAGCGAACAGGAUUAGAUACCCUGGUAGUCCACGCCGUAAACGAUGAGUGCUAAGUGUUAGGGGGUUUCCGCCCCUUAGUGCUGCAGCUAACGCAUUAAGCACUCCGCCUGGGGAGUACGGUCGCAAGACUGAAACUCAAAGGAAUUGACGGGGGCCCGCACAAGCGGUGGAGCAUGUGGUUUAAUUCGAAGCAACGCGAAGAACCUUACCAGGUCUUGACAUCCUCUGACAAUCCUAGAGAUAGGACGUCCCCUUCGGGGGCAGAGUGACAGGUGGUGCAUGGUUGUCGUCAGCUCGUGUCGUGAGAUGUUGGGUUAAGUCCCGCAACGAGCGCAACCCUUGAUCUUAGUUGCCAGCAUUCAGUUGGGCACUCUAAGGUGACUGCCGGUGACAAACCGGAAGAAAGGGGGGGGAUGACGUCAAAUCAUCAUGCCCCUUAUGACCUGGGCUACACACGUGCUACAAUGGGCAGAACAAAGGGCAGCGAAACCGCAA